rnacentral:rRNA from 1 species
AGUGAACGCUGGCGGUAGGCCUAACACAUGCAAGUCGAACGGCAGCACAGUAAGAGCUUGCUCUUACGGGUGCGAGUGGCGGACGGGUGAGGAAUACAUCGGAAUCUACUUUUUCGUGGGGGAUAACGUAGGGAAACUUACGCUAAUACCGCAUACGACCUACGGGUGAAAGCAGGGGAUCUUCGGACCUUGCGCGAUUGAAUGAGCCGAUGUCGGAUUAGCUAGUUGGCGGGGUAAAGGCCCACCAAGGCGAAGAUCCGUAGCUGGUCUGAGAGGAUGAUCAGCCACACUGGAACUGAGACACGGUCCAGACUCCUACGGGAGGCAGCAGUGGGGAAUAUUGGACAAUGGGCGCAAGCCUGAUCCAGCCAUACCGCGUGGGUGAAGAAGGCCUUCGGGUUGUAAAGCCCUUUUGUUGGGAAAGAAAAGCAGCAGGUUAAUACCCCGCUGUUCUGACGGUACCCAAAGAAUAAGCACCGGCUAACUUCGUG